UACACUCCUACGGGAGGCAGCAGUGGGGAAUUUUGGACAAUGGGCGAAAGCCUGAUCCAGCAAUGCCGCGUGUGUGAAGAAGGCCUUCGGGUUGUAAAGCACUUUUGUCCGGAAAGAAAUCCUUGGCUCUAAUACAGUCGGGGGAUGACGGUACCGGAAGAAUAAGCACCGGCUAACUACGUGCCAGCAGCCGCGGUAAUACGUAGGGUGCGAGCGUUAAUCGGAAUUACUGGGCGUAAAGCGUGCGCAGGCGGUUUGCUAAGACCGAUGUGAAAUCCCCGGGCUCAACCUGGGAACUGCAUUGGUGACUGGCAGGCUAGAGGAUGGCAGAGGGGGGUAGAAUUCCACGUGUAGCAGUGAAAUGCGUAGAGAUGUGGAGGAAUACCGAUGGCGAAGGCAGCCCCCUGGGCCAAUACUGACGCUCAUGCACGAAAGCGUGGGGAGCAAACAGGAUUAGAAACCCCUGUAGUCCCAUG
rnacentral:rRNA from 1 species